UUAGAGAACCGGGGGAGACCUAGAGAAGGAGAGGGUGACGGAAGAGUGACCGGAGGUGGUUUCUGUUGGAUGCAAUCCGUGCUGUCAACCAAGCAAAAGCAAGUACUUCUAAGGAUAAAGGAGUAGUAAUUGGUGGAGAUUGAAGGUGAUGGGAGUUGAAGAUCUUUUGUGUAUACAUUUUGCUUAAAAUGCUUCUUAUAUUUUACUAUUUCGGAGUGAGGAUAUAAUGUAUAUAUAUUUUGUUAUGUAAAUAUUCCUCCAUGAGGAGGUAACUAAAGGUAGAUAAACUAUAGUGACCGCCAUUGAUAAGAAUGGCCUAUAUGUUGAUAUAUAAUUAUUAUUAUGCCCAAAUUGUGUAUAUGAGUAUAUGUACUCUUUUGUAUGGGCCAGCGGGUUGGGUAUUGAAUGUUAAGCCCUGCCAAUUAUAUAUUUAAUUAGUUACAGGUUGAUUUGAACGUAAGUAAAAGGAAAAAAAAAAAAAUUCUUUUUCCGAGGAUGAAACCUAGCACUUAGUGGUUUAAGGUUGACGAAAAUAAUCCUACUAGUGGAGGUAAGGUGUUACAAUAUAUAUACACACUUAUGUAUGUAUGUAAAUUUCAUCGUUGGUGCUCCAUGUAGACUAUAAGAUGGAUCCAUGCCGUAUUUAUACUUUGUUGGUAGGGAGCGUAGCUCCAUUUUGAAGUCCAUUUUGGUUGCUCAGUACUGUUACAAAAUUUUCUGGAUGUCCCAUUUACAGAGAAAAUUUUGCCAAAAUUUCCACAAGUGGGUUGUGAUUUUGUGAAACGAAACAUCUCUCUAAGAACUUUAUUCAAGGCUUAAGGGAUGCGUGAUCUCCCCUGUAUCUACAAGCAGGUAUUUGUGUUUGCAAACAUGUAUGAGAACUCUAUAUAUUCAAGGCUUAAGGGAUGUAUGAUCUCUCAUAUUUUGAAGAGGAAGUUCCAGAAAAUCCUUAUGAGAGGCACUUAAGAUCAGAACUUAUCCCAGCAAAUAAAAGAGAUAGGAAAAACAAUGCUUGCAAAGGCAAAUUGCAACUAAUUAAAGCUGGAGAAAGUUUCAUCAAUAUUCCAACGUCUACCAUCCCAUCCAAGUGGUAUGAAGAAGCUGAGAAGAAUUAAUGCUCGAGCCCUAUUACUAUUGGACUUAACUGGAGGAAUCUUAGAUACCAUAGUAUUUAUCAUUUCUCUGUAAUGAAUAGUCAUUUCAUCCAUGUUCUGGCAAGUUUUGAUGCUGAAGAAUUAAUCAUGCAUGAGCUGAUGCGGCGGAAUGACUUGCAUGUAUGGGGAACGAAGUUAGAAGUGGAAAUAACAAUCGGUUAAAUAUAUUUCAGUUAACAUCCCUGUUU